rnacentral:rRNA from 1 species
CCUACGGGGAGCAGCAGUGGGGAAUAUUGGGCAAUGGGCGCAAGCCUGACCCAGCAACGCCGCGUGAAGGAAGAAGGCUUUCGGGUUGUAAACUUCUUUUCUCAGGGACGAAGCAAGUGACGGUACCUGAGGAAUAAGCCACGGCUAACUACGUGCCAGCAGCCGCGGUAAUACGUAGGUGGCAAGCGUUAUCCGCAUUUACUGGUUGUAAAGGGCGUGUAGGCGGUACUGCAAGUCAGAUGUGAAAACCAUGGGAGCAACCUAUGGCCUGCAUUUGAAACUGUAGUUCUUGAGUACUGGAGAGGCAGACGGAAUUCCUAGUGUAGCGGUGAAAUGCGUAGAUAUUAGGAGGAACACCAGUGGCGAAGGCGGUCUGCUGGACAGCAACUGACGCUGAGGCGCGAAAGCGUGGGGAGCAAACAGGAUUAGAUACCCUGGUAGUC